rnacentral:rRNA from 1 species
GAUGAUAGCUUGCUAUCAGGCGUCGAGCGGCGGACGGGUGAGUAAUACUUAGGAAUCUACCUAGUAGUGGGGGAUAGCACGGGGAAAACUCGUAUUAAUACCGCAUACGACCUACGGGAGAAAGGGGGCAGUUUACUGCUCUCGCUAUUAGAUGAGCCUAAGUCGGAUUAACUAGAUGGUGGGGUAAAGGCCUACCAUGGCGACGAUCUGUAGCUGGUCUGAGAGGAUGAUCAGCCACACCGGGACUGAGACACGGCCCGGACUCCUACGGGAGGCAGCAGUGGGGAAUAUUGGACAAUGGGGGAAACCCUGAUCCAGCCAUGCCGCGUGUGUGAAGAAGGCCUUUUGGUUGUAAAGCACUUUAAGCAGUGAAGAAGACUCCUUGGUUAAUACCCAUGGACGAUGACAUUAGCUGCAGAAUAAGCACCGGCUAACUCUGUGCCAGCAGCCGCGGUAAUACAGAGGGUGCAAGCGUUAAUCUGAAUUACUGGGCGUAAAGGGAGCGUAGGUGGCUCGAUAAGUCAGAUGUGAAAUCCCCGGGCUCAACCUGGGAACUGCAUCUGAUACUGUUGAGCUAGAGUAUGUGAGAGGAAGGUAGAAUUCCAGGUGUAGCGGUGAAAUGCGUAGAGAUCUGGAGGAAUACCGAUGGCGAAGGCAGCCUUCUGGCAUAAUACUGACACUGAUGCUCGAAAGCGUGGGUAGCAAACAGGAUUAGAUACCCUGGUAGUCCACGCCGUAAACGAUGUCUACUAGUCGUUGGGUCCCUUGAGGACUUANNGACNCAGCUAACGCAAUAAGUAGACCGCCUGGGGAGUACGGCCGCAAGGUUAAAACUCAUAUGAAUUUACGGGGGCCCCCACAAGCGGUGGAGCAUGUGGUUUAAUUCGAUGCAACGCGAAAAACCUUACCUGGUUCUUGANUUAUCUAGAAUCCUGCAAAGAUGCCGGAGUGCCUUCGGG